rnacentral:rRNA from 1 species
ACGUCGACCGAAGCUGCUUGCAGUGGACGUUGAUUGACGUGAGUGGCGGACGGGUGAGUAACACGUGGGUAACCUACCCUUAAGUGGGGGAUAACAUUUGGAAACAGAUGCUAAUACCGCAUAACCAUUCAGACCACAUGGUCUGAAUGUAAAAGACGGCCUUUGGCUGUCACUUUUGGACGGACCCGCGGCGUAUUAGUUAGUUGGUAAGGUAACGGCUUACCAAGACAAUGAUACGUAGCCGACCUGAGAGGGUAAUCGGCCACAUUGGGACUGAGACACGGCCCAAACUCC